GGUUGUAUAGUGUAGCGGUUAGCACCUCGGAUUCUGAUGCCGCAUCAGAGGUUUCCGGUAACCCCGGUUCGAUUCCGGGUACGACCU